GGCCUGGUAGCCAAGUGGUUAGGCAGCGGUCUGCAAAACCGUAAACGCGGGUUCGAAUCCCACCCAGGCCUCCA
rnacentral:tRNA from 1 species